rnacentral:rRNA from 1 species
UACGUAGGGACCGAGCGUUGUCCGGAUUCAUUGGGCGUAAAGAGCUCGUAGGCGGCCACUCAAGUCGAAUGUGAAACCUCGAGGCUCAACCUCGAGCCUGCAUUCGAUACUGGGCGGCUAGAGUCUGGUAGGGGGAUCUGGAAUUCCUGGUGUAGCGGUGGAAUGCGCAGAUAUCAGGAGGAACACCGAUGGCGAAGGCAGGUCUCUGGGCAUUAACUGACGUGAGGAGCGAAAGCAUGGGGAGCGAACAGG